UACGAAGGGUGCUAGCGUUGUUCGGAAUACUGGGCGUAAAGCGUGCGCAGGCGCGUCCAAGUCAGAGGUGAAAUGCCAAGGCUUAACCUUGGAAUUGCCUUUGAAACUAGGACGCUAGAGACUCGGAGGGGUUAGGGGAAUUCCUAAUGUAGCGGUGAAAUGCGUAGAUAUUAGGAGGAACACCAGUGGCGAAGGCGCCUAACUGGACGAGUACUGACGCUCAUGACACGGAAAGCGUGGGGAUCAAACAGG
rnacentral:rRNA from 1 species